GCCCGGAUCAUGGACUUACGGCCAGGGCUACACACGUGCUACAAUGGGGCGCACAGAGGGCAGCAAGCGCGCGAGUGCAAGCGAAUCCCUUAAAACGCCUCGUAGUCCGGAUCGGAGUCUGCAACUCGACUCCGUGAAGUCGGAAUCGCUAGUAAUCGCAGAUCAGAAUGCUGCGGUGAAUACGUUCCCGGGCCUUGUACACACCGCCCGUCACACCAUGGGAGUGGACUGCACCAGAAGCGGUUAUGUCUAACCUUCGGGAGGACGAUCGCCACGGUGUGGUUCACGACUGGGGUGAAGUCGUAACAAGGUAGCCGUAGGGGAACCUGCGGUUGGAUCACCUCCUCAC
rnacentral:rRNA from 1 species